UACGGGGGGGGCAAGCGUUGUUCGGAAUUACUGGGCGUAAAGGGCUCGUAGGCGGCCAACUAAGUCCGACGUGAAAUCCCCGAGCUCAACUCGGGAACUGCGUCCGAUACUGGCGGGCUUGAAUCCGGGAGAGGGAUGCGGAAUUCCAGGUGUAGCGGUGAGAUGCGUAGAUAUCUGGAGGAACACCGGUGGCGAAGGCGGCAUCCUGGACCGGCAUUGACGCUGAGGCGCGAAAGCUAGGGGAGCAAACGGG
rnacentral:rRNA from 1 species